rnacentral:rRNA from 1 species
UAGGGAAUCUUCCGCAAUGGACGCAAGUCUGACGGAGCAACGCCGCGUGAGUGAAGAAGGAUUUCGGUUCGUAAAACUCUGUUGUUAGAGAAGAACAGCGCAUAGAGUAACUGUUAUGCGUGUGACGGUAUCUAACCAGAAAGCCACGGCUAACUACGUGCCAGCAGCCGCGGUAAUACGUAGGUGGCAAGCGUUGUCCGGAUUUAUUGGGCGUAAAGCGAGCGCAGGCGGUCAAUUAAGUCUGAUGUGAAAGCCCCCGGCUCAACCGGGGAGGGUCAUUGGAAACUGGUUGACUUGAGUGCAGGAGAGGAGAGUGGAAUUCCAUGUGUAGCGGUGAAAUGCGUAGAUAUAUGGAGGAACACCAGUGGCGAAGGCGACUCUCUGGUCUGUAACUGACGCUGAGGCUCGAAAGCGUGGGUAGCAAACAGG